rnacentral:lncRNA from 10 species
UGUGAAAUGAGAGGCGGUGCUUCCGUGACUGUUCAACAUGAAGAAAGAUGAAGGAUUAAAAUAUUUUGACUGCUUUGAGAGGAGCUGAUAUAGUUUGGAUGUUUUUUCCACCUGAAAUGUGACCUCCAAAGUUGGAGGUGAGUCUCCUGGGAGGUGUCUGGGUCAUGCGGAUGGAUCCUUCAGGAAUGGUUUGAUGCUGUCCUAGUGGUAAUCAGUGAGUUCUCACUCUAUGAGUUCAUAUGAGAUCUGCUUGUUUAAAAGAGCCUGACACCUCCUCCCUCUCUCUCUUGCUUCAUCUCUUGCCGUAUGAUACACCAGCUCCCCCUUCACCUUCCACCAUGACUGUAAGCUCCCAGAGGCCUUCACCAGAAGCAGAUGCCAGCACCAUGCUUCCUGUAUAGCCUGCAGAACCAUGGGCCAAAAUAAAUGUCUUUUCUUCAUAAAUAACCCAGUCUUAGGUAUUUCUUUAUAGUAACACAAAAUGGACUAACAUAGAAAAUUGGUACUGAGAAGUAAGGCAUUGCUAUAAAGAUAUCUGAAGAUGUGGAAGUACUUUGGAACUGGGUAACAGCAAGAGGCUGGAAGAGUUUGGAGGCCUCAGAAGAUGAUGGGAAGAUGAGGGAAAUUUUGGAACUUCUGAGGGACUGGUUAAAUGGUUAUAACCAAAAUGCUAAUAGAAAUAUGGACAGUGAAGGCCAAACUGAAGAGGUCUCAGAUUGAAAUGAUGAACUUAUUUGGAACAAAAGCAAAAAUUAUCCUUGUCACUCUGUAGCAAAGAACUUGGGUGCAUUGUGUCCCUACCCUACGUAUCUGUGGAAGUUUGAAUUUAAGAAUGAUGAUUUAGGAUACCUGGCAGAAGAAAUCUCUAAGCAGCCAAGUGUUAAAGAAGUAGCCUGGCUACUUCUAACAGCCAAUGAUAAGAUAUGGGAGCAAAGAAAUGACUUAAAGUUGGAGCUUAUGAAUAAAAAGGAAGCAGAACAUAAAGGUUAUCUUGCAGUAAUGACUGAGUUAUCACACUAUGAGUUCAUGUGAGACUUGGUUGUUUAAAAGAGCCUAGCACCUCUUCCCUCUCUCUCUUGAUUCCCCUCUUGCCAUGUAAUACAUUGUAUCAGCUUCCCUUCUCCCUUGUGCCAUGAUUGUAAGCUGCCUGAGCGCCCCCAGAAGCAGAUGCCAACACAUGCUUCCUGGAUAUCCUGCCAAGCCAUAAGCCAAAAUAAACCUCUUUUCUUCAUAA